rnacentral:rRNA from 1 species
CGCGUAUCCAACCUGCCCUUGUCCACCGGAUAACCCGUCGAAAGGCGGACUAACACGGUAUGCAGUCCACAGCAGACAUCUAACGUGGACGAAAUGUGAAGGAGAAGGAUGGGGAUGCGUCUGAUUAGCUUGUUGGCGGGGUAACGGCCCACCAAGGCGACGAUCAGUAGGGGUUCUGAGAGGAAGGUCCCCCACAUUGGAACUGAGACACGGUCCAA